UACGAAGGGGGCUAGCGUUGUUCGGAAUUACUGGGAGUAAAGCGCGUGUAGGCGGGUCUUUAAGUCCGGGGGGAAAUGCCAAGGCUCAACCUUGGAACUGCCUUUGAUACUGGAGACCUUGAGUCCGGGAGAGGUGAGUGGAAUUGCGAGUGUAGAGGUGAAAUUCGUAGAUAUUCGCAAGAACACCAGUGGCGAAGGCGGCUCACUGGCCCGGAACUGACGCUGAGACGCGAAAGCGUGGGGGGCAAACAGG
rnacentral:rRNA from 1 species